GAUGAACGCUGGCGGCGUGCCUAAUACAUGCAAGUCGAGCGAAUGGAUUAAGAGCUUGCUCUUAUGAAGUUAGCGGCGGACGGGUGAGUAACACGUGGGUAACCUGCCCAUAAGACUGGGAUAACUCCGGGAAACCGGGGCUAAUACCGGAUAACAUUUUGAACCGCAUGGUGCGAAAUUGAAAGGCGGCUUCGGCGGUCACUUAUGGAUGGACCCGCGUCGCAUUAGCUAGUUGGUGAGGUAACGGCUCACCAAGGCAACGAUGCGUAGCCGACCUGAGAGGGGGAUCGGGCACGCGGGGAUGGAGACACGGCCCAGAGUCCUACGGGAGGCAGCAGUAGGGAAUCUUCCGCAGUGGACGAAAGUCUGACGGAGCAACGCCGCGUGAGUGAUGAAGGCUUUCGGGUCGUAAAACACUGUUGUUAGGGAAGAACAAGUGCUAGUUGAAUAAGCUGACACCUUGACGGUACCUAACCAGAAAGCCACGGCUAACUACGUGCCAGCAGCCGCCGCGG
rnacentral:rRNA from 1 species